UACAGAGGGGGCAAGCGUUAUUCGGAAUUAUUGGGCGUAAAGGGCUCGUAGGCGGCCAACUAAGUCGGAUGUGAAAUCCCCAGGCUCAACCUGGGAACUGCAUCCGAUACUGGAUGGCUUGAAUCCGGGAGAGGGAUGCAGAAUUCCAGGUGUAGCGGUGAAAUGCGUAGAUAUCUGGAGGAAUACCGGUGGCGAAGGCGGCAUCCUGGACCGGCAUUGACGCUGAGGAGCGAAAGCUAGGGGAGCAAACGGG
rnacentral:rRNA from 1 species